GCACCCGUAGUUUAAUGGAUAGAAUAGUGGCUUGCGGAGCCAUUGGUCCAAGUUCGAUUCUUGGCGGGUGCACCA
rnacentral:tRNA from 1 species